rnacentral:rRNA from 1 species
CGCGCCGGAGGUACUUAACCCUUUACGUAUGUAUGGCCUCUCUGAGUCUUCUGUACUGAAUAAGUCAAAACUUUCAACAACGGAUCUCUUGGUUCUGGCAUCGAUGAAGAACGCAGCGAAAUGCGAUAAGUAAUGUGAAUUGCAGAAUUCAGUGAAUCAUCGAAUCUUUGAACGCACAUUGCGCCCGCCAGCAUUCUGGCGGGCAUGCCUGUUCGAGCGUCAUUUCAACCAUCAAGCCCCCGGGCCUGUGUUGGGGACCUGCGGCUGACCGCAGGCCCCGAAAACCAGUGGCGGGCUCGCCGACACCCCGAGCGUAGUAGCAUACUUCUCGCUCAUGGGCGUGCCGCGGGCACCCGGCCGUUAAACACUCCACACAAGGUUGACUCGGA